CAGGCUUAACACAUGCAAGUCGAGGGGCAGCAUUUCAGUUUGCUUGCAAACUGGAGAUGGCGACCGGCGCACGGGUGAGUAACACGUAUCCAACCUGCCGAUAACUCGGGGAUAGCCUUUCGAAAGAAAGAUUAAUACCCGAUGGUAUAAUCAGACCGCAUGGUCUUGUUAUUAAAGAAUUUCGGUUAUCGAUGGGGAUGCGUUCCAUUAGGCAGUUGGUGAGGUAACGGCUCACCAAACCUUCGAUGGAUAGGGGUUCUGAGAGGAAGGUCCCCCACAUUGGAACUGAGACACGGUCCAAACUCCUACGGGAGGCAGCAGUGAGGAAUAUUGGUCAAUGGGCGCAGGCCUGAACCAGCCAAGUAGCGUGAAGGAUGACUGCCCUAUGGGUUGUAAACUUCUUUUAUAUGGGAAUAAAGUUUUCCACGUGUGGAAUUUUGUAUGUACCAUAUGAAUAAGGAUCGGCUAACUCCGUGCCAGCAGCCGCGGUAAUACGGAGGAUCCGAGCGUUAUCCGGAUUUAUUGGGUUUAAAGGGAGCGUAGGUGGACAGUUAAGUCAGUUGUGAAAGUUUGCGGCUCAACCGUAAAAUUGCAGUUGAUACUGGCUGUCUUGAGUACAGUAGAGGUGGGCGGAAUUCGUGGUGUAGCGGUGAAAUGCUUAGAUAUCACGAAGAACUCCGAUUGCGAAGGCAGCUCACUGGACUGCAACUGACACUGAUGCUCGAAAGUGUGGGUAUCAAACAGGAUUAGAUACCCUGGUAGUCCACACAGUAAACGAUGAAUACUCGCUGUUUGCGAUAUACAGUAAGCGGCCAAGCGAAAGCAUUAAGUAUUCCACCUGGGGAGUACGCCGGCAACGGUGAAACUCAAAGGAAUUGACGGGGGCCCGCACAAGCGGAGGAACAUGUGGUUUAAUUCGAUGAUACGCGAGGAACCUUACCCGGGCUUAAAUUGCAUUUGAAUAUAUUGGAAACAGUAUAGCCGUAAGGCAGAUGUGAAGGUGCUGCAUGGUUGUCGUCAGCUCGUGCCGUGAGGUGUCGGCUUAAGUGCCAUAACGAGCGCAACCCUUAUCUUUAGUUACUAACAGGUCAUGCUGAGGACUCUAGAGAGACUGCCGUCGUAAGAUGUGAGGAAGGUGGGGAUGACGUCAAAUCAGCACGGCCCUUACGUCCGGGGCUACACACGUGUUACAAUGGGGGGUACAGAAGGCAGCUACCUGGUGACAGGAUGCUAAUCCCAAAAGCCUCCCUCAGUUCGGAUCGAAGUCUGCAACCCGACUUCGUGAAGCUGGAUUCGCUAGUAAUCGCGCAUCAGCCAUGGCGCGGUGAAUACGUUCCCGGGCCUUGUACACACCGCCCGUCAAGCCAUGAAAGCCGGGGGUACCUGAAGUACGUAACCGCAAGGAGCGUCCUAGGGUAAAACUGGUAA
rnacentral:rRNA from 1 species